UACGUAGGGUGCAAGCGUUGUCCGGAAUUAUUGGGCGUAAAGAGCUCGUAGGCGGUUUGUCGCGUCGGAUGUGAAAACCCGGGGCUCAACCCCGGGCCUGCAUUCGAUACGGGCAGACUAGAGUGCGGUAGGGGAGACUGGAAUUCCUGGUGUAGCGGUGAAAUGCGCAGAUAUCAGGAGGAACACCGGUGGCGAAGGCGGGACUCUGGGCCGAUACUGACGCUGAGGAGCGAAAGCGUGGGGAGCAAACAGG
rnacentral:rRNA from 1 species